AGUGAACGCUGGCGGUAGGCCUAACACAUGCAAGUCGAACGGCAGCACAGUAAGAGCUUGCUCUUACGGGUGGCGAGUGGCGGACGGGUGAGGAAUACAUCGGAAUCUACUUUUUCGUGGGGGAUAACGUAGGGAAACUUACGCUAAUACCGCAUACGACCUACGGGUGAAAGCAGGGGAUCUUCGGACCUUGCGCGAUUGAAUGAGCCGAUGUCGGAUUAGCUAGUUGGCGGGGUAAAGGCCCACCAAGGCGACGAUCCGUAGCUGGUCUGAGAGGAUGAUCAGCCACACUGGAACUGAGACACGGUCCCGACUCCUACGGGAGGCAGCAGUGGGGAAUAUUAGACAAUGGGCGCAAGCCUGAUCCAGCCAUACCGCGUGGGUGAAGAAGGCCUUCGGGUUGUAAAGCCCUUUUGUUGGGAAAGAAAAGCAGCAGGUUAAUACCCCGCUGUUCUGACGGUACCCAAAGAAUAAGCACCGGCUAACUUCGUG
rnacentral:rRNA from 1 species